CCGACUGAUGAGAAUAAGGCGAAUGUGACUUUGUGCUCUCUGACCCUUGGCUCCUGGGGGGUAGGUACAGAUGGGAUCUUAAAUCUUGGUGGGGAACCUGAGUUCCUGGCUCCCUACUGUAAGGCCAGAUCAAUAGCACUGCUGGCCUUGCCCUCAUGUCUGUUGCUGCCCCUAGUUCCUGGCAGCAGUUUGCAGGGAGGCCCACAGGUGGGAGCCAAAAGGGAUGGGCACCAGCCAUGUGAUCACAACCUUGGAUCUGACA
rnacentral:snoRNA from 1 species